rnacentral:rRNA from 1 species
UACGAAGGGGGCUAGCGUUGUUCGGAAUUACUGGGCGUAAAGCGCACGUAGGCGGACUACUAAGUCAGGGGUGAAAUCCCGGGGCUCAACCCCGGAACUGCCUUUGAUACUGAUAGUCUCGAGUCCGGAAGAGGUGAGUGGAAUUCCGAGUGUAGAGGUGAAAUUCGUAGAUAUUCGGAGGAAAACCAGUGGCGAAGGCGGCUCACUGGUCCGGUACUGACGCUGAGGUGCGAAAGCGUGGGGAGCAAACAGG